rnacentral:rRNA from 1 species
AUACGGAGGAUCCGAGCGUUAUCCGGAUUUAUUGGGUUUAAAGGGUGCGCAGGCGGCCAUUUAAGUCAGCGGUUAAAUCGUGGGGCUCAACCCCAUUCUGCCGUUGAUACUGGGUGGCUUGAUUGCGGUCGAGGUUGGCGGAAUUCGUUGUGUAGCGGUGAAAUGCAUAGAUAUGACGAAGAACACCGAUUGCGUAGGCAGCUGACCAGACCGAAAAUGACGCUCAUGCACGAAAGUGCGGGGAUCGAACAGGAUUAGAUACCCUGGUAGUCCGCACAGUAAACGAUGAAUACUUGUUUUCGGCGAUAUAAUGUCGGAGGCAAAGCGAAAGCGAUAAGUAUUCCACCUGGGGAGUACGCCGGCAACGGUGAAACUCAAAUGAAUUGACGGGG